rnacentral:rRNA from 1 species
CCUACGGGAGGCAGCAGUGGGGAAUAUUGCACAAUGGGCGAAAGCCUGAUGCAGCAACGCCGCGUGAAGGAAGAAGGGUUUCGGCUCGUAAACUUCUAUCAACAGGGACGAAAGAAAUGACGGUACCUGAAUAAGAAGCCCCGGCUAACUACGUGCCAGCAGCCGCGGUAAUACGUAGGGGGCAAGCGUUAUCCGGAAUUACUGGGUGUAAAGGGUGAGUAGGCGGCAUGGUAAGCCAGAUGUGAAAGCCUUGGGCUUAACCGCGGGACUGCAUUGGGAACUACCGGGCUGGAGUGACGGAGAGGUAGGCGGAAUUCCUAGUGUAGCGGUGAAAUGCGUAGAUAUUAGGAGGAACACCAGUGGCGAAGGCGGCCUACUGGACGGUGACUGACGCUGAGGCUCGAAAGCGUGGGGAGCAAACAGGAUUAGAUACCCUUGUAGUC